rnacentral:lncRNA from 1 species
CAGUAAUGGGAAAACUUUAGCAUUGUAGAUAAAGGAAGGAUCUCAAAUUUUCAGGACAUGGGCAAGCCCCUCAGCGUCUGUUUCUCUGACUGUUUGUCUCUCAUUGUGUCUCUUUACAUGUCUUUCACUUUUUGUGUUUGUGGAAGUUAUUAUUUGCAUAAAUUGCCCUUUACAGAAAAACGACACAUAUUAUAUACAUGGCCAAGUAUAGCAUCCAACUAUACUUUUAAACACAUGAAUCUAGAAUCAUAGUGGUUUCUUUAUGGAGGAUGCACAGUAAGCCUAUUUUAUUUUUUUUCCACACAGCCCUUUGUUUAUGCUUUCACAGUCUUCUCUGCAGCACAGAUUUUUCUGCCACAAACAAAAGAAAUGGUAUUUUUUGUUUCUUCUGGGUAAAAUGACAUUUGCCCCCCCCCUUUCCUAGUAGUAGC